rnacentral:lncRNA from 1 species
AUGCAGCCAAGUGCGAGAAGCCUGCUCUCCUCACCUGCCUCGUGUCCCUGCCCACAAAAACGUGUGCGAGGAGGGAACGACGAGCUUUUCACAUUUCACCGCUCUAUGCUUCAGGAAGAACCAGCGCAAUGUCUCCCCUUUAGUGGGAAACGAUGCACGCCACCAAUUCACCCAGCGCGAUUUGCAGUGCUGAGCUGGCCUCGAAAUCCUCCCCUUGUCAUCCCACAAGGAAGUCAGCCUGCUACCUGGGAAACGCCAGCCAACAGAUCCCAGCCCCGUGCUCCCACCGGCUGCUCUCAGCUCCCACCCCUGCAGCAGGGACCUGCGGCCAGGAGCCUGGGGCUGCCCUCCCAGCAGCGACCCCCAGCCCAGCAGAGCCCCCGGCCGCCCUCCCCAGCACCCGGCCUUCCCCUGCCCCACUCCCCACCUCCUGCUGCCGUGGAUGCAGCCCAGGGGCUGCCACAGCCGCCUCCUUUUUUUUCCCUUUCGGCUUCCCCCGCCUGGCAAACCCUUUUUUUCUGCCCACCUGGGCGAGGAGCGAGGGGGGGGCGCCCCGCUGCCCACCCUGGGGGUGCCGCACCCCAGCUCCCCUCAACCAAGGAGCUGUGGGGAGCCCCCCCCUCCCUCCCCUCCCUUCCCCCUCCUCGCCGGGGGGGCCGAGGCGCAUCCAGCCCCGUCCUCGCCCUCCCCGCGGCGGGCAGCGCCCCCUGCCCUUCCCCUCACCUGGCAGCGCCCAGGCCCCGGGGCCAGGCCCCGUUCUCCCCCUCCAAACUUUGCGGGCGCCGCAUCCCUGCCCCUCACCCCCGGCAGCGGCCCGGCCCCCCCCUUUCUCCCUCCCCUCCUCCCUCCCGGCGGCGGCCCCGGGCCGGGCCGGGCCGUGCCGGCCGAGGGGCGGAAGCAGGGGCAGAGCCGUGCGGGGAGCAGGCCGCGCCGAGCCUCCCGGCAGCAGCAGCAACAGCAGCAGGAGGAGGAGGAGGAGGAGGAAGGAGGGGCCGGGGCCGCCGCCGGGGCCGGGGCCGGGGCCGGUGCGCCCGGAGCGCGGCCUGCUCGGCGGGGCGCAGCCCGGCCCCUCUCGCACGUACUCACCGCCGGGUUCGCCAUUACGCCAAGGCGGCGGCGGCGGCGCCCGGAGCCUCCCCCGCUGCCCGGCACGCACGGGCGGCCGCGGGGGGAGGGAGCGGAGCGGAGCGGGGCGGCGGGGGAUGCCCCGCGCCUGCCCCUCCU